rnacentral:rRNA from 1 species
AGUGAACGCUGGCGGUAGGCCUAACACAUGCAAGUCGAACGGCAGCACAGUAAGAGCUUGCUCUUACGGGUGGCGAGUGGCGGACGGGUGAGGAAUACAUCGGAAUCUACUUUUUCGUGGGGGAUAACGUAGGUAAACUUACGCUAAUACCGCAUACGACCUACGGGUGAAAGCAGGGGAUCCUCGGACCUUGCGCGAUUGAAUGAGCCGAUGUCGGAUUAGCUAGUUGGCGGGGUAAAGGCCCACCAAGGCGACGAUCCGUAGCUGGUCUGAGAGGAUGAUAAGCCACACUGGAACUGAGACACGGUCCAGACUCCUACGGGAGGCAGCAGUGGGGAAUAUUGGACAAAGGGCGCAAGCCUGAUCCAGCCAUACCGCGUGGGUGAAGAAGGCCUUCGGGUUGUAAAGACCUUUUGUUGGGAAAGAAAAGCAGCAGGUUAAUACCCCGCUGUUCUGACGGUACCCAAAGAAUAAGCACCGGCUAACUUCGUG